AUUGAACGCUGGCGGCAGGCCUAACACAUGCAAGUCGAACGAGUGGCGGACGGGUGAGUAAUGUCUGGGAAACUGCCCGAUGGGGGGGGAUCACUACUGGAAACGGUAGCUAAUACCGCAUACCAUCGGGUGUGCCCAGAUGGGAGUAGCUAGGAGGUGGGGUAACGGCUCACCGAGGCGACGAUCCCUAGCUGGUCUGAGAGGAGGACCAGCCACACUGGAACUGCGACACGGUCCAGACGCCUACGGGAGGCAGCAGUGGGGAAUAUUGCACAAGGGGCGCAAGCCUGAUGCAGCCAUGCCGCGUGUAUGAAGAAGGCAUUCGGGUUGUAAAGUACUUUCAGCGAGGAGGCGUUACUCGCAGAAGAAGCACCGGCUAACUCCGUGCCAGCAGCCGCGGUAAUAC
rnacentral:rRNA from 1 species